CUCUCCUCUCUUGCUCUCCUUUUUUUUUCUUCUCUCUUCUCGCCCCCCUUUUCAUCUCAGGCCCUUUUUCUGAUGCUGAAUGCAAAUGUGUAGCCCUGCUGCUGGCGGCGAAAGGGGCUGAAUUGUGAUUAAGAGGGAGAAGGAGAAGAAGAAGAAGGAGAAGAAGAAGAAGGAGAAGAAGAGGAGCUCCUUUUCUUUGUUCUCCCCCCGGGGGAUGUUUACCAGGAGAGACACGGCGGAUCAGAUAUGAAAGGCAUUCAGAUUCCACAGGCUCCGGUGGGGCUGCAGCACGGGACAAUCUCCCCCGGAUAGCGGUGCCUUUAUCGCUGCGUAAAAAGGCGAAGAAAUGCGCACCAGCCGCCGGACUCUCACACACCCCUGAACCGCAGUGGAAACCUUCAACCCAGGCUUCCAUCCAGAGAAACAACCCCCACCCCCCUCCUCCACCGCCUCCCAGCGCUUAGAGGAGAAGCCCCCUGAAACGCACGCCACCUAUCUUCACGGGAGGGGAUAAUUGAGGAGCGCCAAACGUGAGCAUCUUCUGGGUUGAAGUUUUUUUUCCUUUCCUCCCUCUCCCUUCCUUUCUCCCCCCUCCGCUCCUCUCUCCCUUUCUUUCCCUCACUCUCCUCUCUCUUUCACCAUCUCCUCGCUUUUUGAGUGAAACCAACUAUGUCGGGCUUCGACGCGGAGCAAAAGAACAGAACAGGCGACAGUGUGUGUGUGUGACUGUGUGUGUGUAUGUUGUGUUUUUUCGUCCUCUUUCUUCCGUGUAUGUGUGUAUGUGGGGAGAAACUUGGAGCGCGUCCACGCCGGCCGCAAUCAUGUAAGGAUUAUAUAUUUUUUAAAUCUAUCUAUACAUAUGUUUCCACUCGGUUUAAUUUGCAGAAAUGGUUGGUUGAUACGUAGGAGUUUGGGUGGGGAAUGGAAUCCACAUAUUCCUCACUAUUGCAACUGGCUGCAAAAGGUUUCUCCUUUAAAUACGAUGUUAAUUUUUGCGUAAAACGUUGUUUUUUCGCUUUUACGCAUGAACAUUUUCUUGGGUUUUGCGUAAUUUAAUUAAUGCCAUGCGUUUAAUUUGCUUAAUUCUGAUUUAAUAUGCUGUUAGAAACGGUUGGAAAACAAGUCAGCGUUCUGUUUUUAGAAUUUAGGUUUGAUUUUGGGGUUAAAUAUGAUCGCCAAGUGGUAAAAAUAAACGGGUAAAAUUGUUACAAAGUGGCAGCGUGAAGGUGGUUAUUACCUGGGAUGUACCUGCCGUGCAGCAUCAUUGCGCGCCGCAGGUACAUCCGUGUGUUUAACAGGAUGCACGCAAACUCCACAGUGAGAAAAGCUUUUUUUCUCCCUGCAGCUGCGGAUUCUAACUACAUUUACGAGAUUACACAAGCGCGACUGCACGAAACUGUCAGCCGCCACUGACAGACAGGACUGCAGCCUCUGUAGGAAUAUUCAGACGGCACUAAAGGAGCCGGAAAAGGCGCCAUAAAGUAGAAUAAAGUGAGUGUAAAGUCGCCGCCAUACGCGCCGCGAGUCCCCGCAGGAAUAUUAGAGGGAAUAUUCCGGGAUUAUUAGAGUGAUUUUUCGUGCCGGACGCCAACUUAACGGGACGAAUUCCGCAUUUAUUAAAGAAGUCAACCAUCUCAGCCACGUCUGACUCUCACCACACACAAACACGCAAAUACACACACACAGAGAGAGAGAGAGGGGGAGAGAGAGAGGGAGGGAGAGAGACGAAGCUCCACCUUUGCAGCGCCCUGAUUGGUUAUGUAAAUAAAGUAUUAUUUUGUGUCCUGUCCUCCUGCAGUUCGCCACUGUAUGGCUAAUUAAAUCAUCAAUCAAGGGGCUGAACUGGUUGAUGCCCCCCCACCCCACCCCACCCCACCCCCACCUACCUCACCCUCAACCCCCCCAAAAUCCAAUCAGAUGCAGCAAAAAAAGGAGAAAUGACACAAUGACAGUCUUAAUUUCUGCUCGAAGUAUUGCACAUAUUAUCAGUAUUAGCAGUAUUAAUAGCAGUAUUACUAGUAGCGGUGGUGGUUGUACACGUAUUAAUAGCAGUACACGGAUAUGCUCUUCAACUUUUCAUUUGUCUACAACUUGUCUGCUGCUUUGACAAGAGGACGCAGCCAAUCGCGUAAAAUCCCCAAAGUUUUCUAUUUUCUUUCUGUUGAGUUUGUUUUUAAUCAUCUCCGGCAUUAAAUGUUGUCAUAUUUUCGUCUUUUUUUUAAAUCCACAAACCAUGACUUGAAGGAGGGCAGAACUCGGGGGUUGAAGCCGCUGAAGCCCCGUUUCUCUCGGGUCCAAAGUGGUUCCAGUCCUGGCUGAAUUAUUGUCAUGCGUAAUUUACCACCACGGUGCUCGCAUGUAAACGAAACAGUCUCCCCCUCUCCUCCCUCCUAUCCUCCCCCCUGUCUCUCACUCACACACUCCUUAUCUCUCUCUAUCUCUCUCUCUCACACACAUCUAUAUCUAUAUACACACUUGAACCGUGCGUCCCAGGCAUCCAAGCGAGCCUGAAGUGGCACCUCUCGCCUUUUUUUUCCUCUUUUACGCACAGCCUCUCCCUUCGUGGGGCCGCAUAUUCACCGUGAAAACGGAUUACAGUCGGUGUGUGACCUAUAGGGGGACCUUGUGCUUAAUGAAUAUAUUGGUUUAAAUGAGCUGAGGAGGGACUAAAAACAAACGCAUGAUUUAGAAUUUUUUUUAAAAUCGAUUUUUUUCUUAUUUCCGUGGUCUGUGAUUAAAUCAACAACUGUUUAUUUGGCUUAUUGUUAUUUAUGAGGUAAAUUGUUCAAUUAAAAAGAGCUGAAGCAAGUGUAAACAUUCACAAAUGGAAUUAUUUUUUUUCUGUUGAUGUCUCCUCCUGUAAUUUUUUCCUUCUUCCUCCAAAUAAAAAUUUGAAGACUCUGCAGCA